UCUGGGAACUGUAGUUUGGCAAGGAUGCUGAGAGUUGUUAGCUCUCAGUAUCUUUACCAAACUACAGUUCCCAGA